rnacentral:rRNA from 1 species
AUUGAACGCUGGCGGCGUGCUUAACACAUGCAAGCCGAACGGUGAACGAGGGAGCUUGCUCCCUCCGGAUCAGUGGCGAACGGGUGAGUAACACGUGAGCAAUCUGCCCUGGACUCUGGGAUAAGCGUUGGAAACGACGUCUAAUACCGGAUACGAGGCGUGGGGGCAUCCCCAACGCCUGGAAAGAACUUCGGUCCAGGAUGGGCCCGCGGCCUAUCAGCUUGUUGGUGGGGUAAUGGCCUACCAAGGCGACGACGGGUAGCCGACCUGAGAGGGUGACCGGCCACACUGGGACUGAGACACGGCCCAGACUCCUACGGGAGGCAGCAGUGGGGAAUAUUGCACAAUGGGCGAAAGCCUGAUGCAGCGACGCCGCGUGAGGGAUGACGGCCUUCGGGUUGUAAACCUCUUUCAGCAGGGACGAAGCGAAAGUGACGGUACCUGCAGAAGAAGCACCGGCCAACUACGUGCCAGCCGCCGCGGUAA